GACGAACGCUGGCGGCGUGCCUAAUACAUGCAAGUAGGACGCACAGUCUAUACCGUAGCUUGCUACACCAUAGGCUGAGAGUUGCGAACGGGUGAGUAACGCGUAGGUAACCUGCCUAUUAGAGGGGGAUAACUAUUGGAAACGAUAGCUAAUACCGCAUAACAGUAUGUAACACAUGUUAGAUGCUUGAAAGAUGCAAUUGCAUCGCUAGUAGAUGGACCUGCGUUGUAUUAGCUAGUAGGUAGGGUAAUGGCCUACCUAGGCGACGAUACAUAGCCGACCUGAGAGGGUGAUCGGCCACACUGGGACUGAGACACGGCCCAGACGCCUACGGGAGGCAGCAGUAGGGAAUCUUCGGCAAUGGGGGGAACCCUGACCGAGCAACGCCGCGUGAGUGAAGAAGGUUUUCGGAUCGUAAAGCUCUGUUGUUAAGGAAGAACGAGUGUGAGAAUGGAAAGUUCAUACUGUGACGGUACUUAACCAGAAAGGGACGGCUAACUACGUG
rnacentral:rRNA from 1 species